UGGAUUUGAUAUUGAAUUUUUUAUUAGUUAGCUAGAUGAUGAAUUUUGAUUACAUGAGUUGUACUUGAUCCUAUUUAAAAAGGAUUCCCUUCUUCAAUGACUCUAACCACAUACGUGUACAAGAUCUAGACCAUUCAUUUUAUGGCCUCCACCAUAGAUGGUUGACACUGUAAUAACUGUUUGUCACUGUAGAAUCGUUUUCAUUUCCAACUGCCCAUUUCCAGGCCGCAUUUGGAUGCUUAGGACUGUUUCAUUGGUGGGACAUCUGGGCAAUGAUCAAUUAAUGGUGGGGCCCACCAAAAUGUGCAGUGCAGAUCACGUGCCAGAUUAGAUUCCUGUACGGGGAGAAAAAGAAAAGGGUGCCUUUGCCCAUUAUCAUGCAUGAAAAUAUCUUUCAAAAUUUCUUUUGUAGGAUGCUUCUAUUAAUCAGUCGGAGGUCUUCAAUAGGGUUGUUUCUUGUUUGCAUUUUGCUAACCAAAGAUGAGAGCAUUUCGGUGCUGGUGAUAUCGGAUAUGUGGCUCAAGCCCAUGCGGAAUCUAGAUGUGAAGUUACCAAAGCAAACGUAGGUGAGGAAAUCCAUCUUUGAUAAUGCUAUAUCCAAUUUUUCUAUUUGUAGUUAGGAUUAUGUUCCCAUGUGAUUAGAGAAAUUAAACUUUGAUACUUUGACAGACCCUUUUAUCUUUAAUGGAAGGAAUAAGAUGCUAUAUGAAUCGCUUCUUGUAUUGAUCAAUGCAGUUUAGCUAUUUAUUAACGGUUGGUUUCUUCAAAAGAUUUCCCUCUAAAAGCAUGUGUGAGGCUUUCUGGAAGGAGGGAUGAU